CUGGACGAAGACUGACGCUCAGGUGCGAAAGCGUGGGGAGCAAGCAGGAUUAGAUACCCUGGUAGUCCACGCCGUAAACGAUGUCGACUUGGAGGUUGUGCCCUUGAGGCGUGGCUUCCGGAGCUAACGCGUUAAGUCGACCGCCUGGGGAGUACGGCCGCAAGGUUAAAACUCAAAUGAAUUGACGGGGGCCCGCACAAGCGGUGGAGCAUGUGGUUUAAUUCGAUGCAACGCGAAGAACCUUACCUGGUCUUGACAUCCACGGAAGUUUUCAGAGAUGAGAAUGUGCCUUCGGGAACCGUGAGACAGGUGCUGCAUGGCUGUCGUCAGCUCGUGUUGUGAAAUGUUGGGUUAAGUCCCGCAACGAGCGCAACCCUUAUCCUUUGUUGCCAGCGGUCCGGCCGGGAACUCAAAGGAGACUGCCAGUGAUAAACUGGAGGAAGGUGGAGAUGACGUCAAGUCAUCAUGGCCCUUACGACCAGGGCUACACACGUGCUACAAUGGCGCAUACAAAGAGAAGCGACCUCGCGAGAGCAAGCGGACCUCAUAAAGUGCGUCGUAGUCCGGAUUGGAGUCUGCAACUCGACUCCAUGAAGUCGGAAUCGCUAGUAAUCGUGGAUCAGAAUGCCACGGUGAAUACGUUCCCGGGCCUUGUACACACCGCCCGUCACACCAUGGGAGUGGGUUGCAAAAGAAGUAGGUAGCUUAACCUUCGGGAGGGCGCUUACCACUUUGUGAUUCAUGACUGGGGUGAAGUCGU
rnacentral:rRNA from 1 species